UAUAAGCUGCUGAGCCUGUUGGCUGUACCCGUAUUGGCAGUGUUGGUGUUGGCGGUUGUGCUGGUGCUGAUGAGGAGAAAAAGUAAGUUAAAUAUCGAAGAAAAGUAAGGUUCCUACGAUUUUGGUGAGAAAAUCUCUAUUUAUUGAAAAUUUAUGAAAUUUAUUUACAAAUUCAAAGUCAAGUUAAAAUAGAUUUGAGAUGAGCUUGAAAGAAGCUUAGAGUAUUUUUUUAGGCAUGCUUAAAUUUGAGCCAUGUACUAUUUGUAUUUGACCACCAUGCAUACCAAAAUGGCAAAUGAACAGAAACUGUACUGAACAAACUGAUUUUAUUCAUUGAGAAGCUCCUGAAAAGCAAUGAAAGAUGGUUGAAGAUCUGCACUAGAAAAUUUAGAUGUCAAAUCUUAAAUAAAUCAUUCGAGAAGGGAAACGUAACUCUUAUAUGCAUAUAACUCAGUGAUAUGAGGAAGCCUCAGCCGUUCUUUUUGCCUGAAAAAGAGCUACCGGUAAAAAAAGUUCCUUAAGACCCUAAAUCCGCUGCUGGAUUAUUAUGUCUGUGGUAAGGUCAAUACACUCUUACGGGUUAGUAAUCUGGCGGUUGUUAAACACAUUAGAAGUAAGUACUCAGGAAGAGUCAUCUACAUAUUCUGUGAACGUAAGGUUUAAAUAAAAGCUCAAAGCUCAUUUACGACAAACACUAGAAUCAUACUCGACUGCCGCAGCUCUCGAAAUAUACUAUUAGCCUGAGGGUAACUGCAGCGCAAAGUAAUUUGUUAGGAUAGAUCGCGUUAAGGUGGAAACAAAAUUUGAACUAUCGCAAGUUGACGUAAAACUGUCCGAAACAGGCUUAUAUUCAUUGAAAAAAAGGAAGACAAUUCAUAGAUUUUACUCUAUAGCAUGACCUGCAGAAAGCUCCGAAAUCCUUUCAAAAGUUUAUGUAAAAUCUGCAGAAAUGAAGAGCAGGAAGAAAACGAUCUUGCACUUACUAAGCGAUCACGCUGUGUCAUUUCCUCUUCAAAAUUGUCUAUGACCAAAGCAAUUUCCUCCUAAAAAUUUGCUUGCUCAAAGUCCAAUCUUAUCUUAUUUAUAAAGAAAAGCUACACAUGUCAUGAUUGCGGAAGGGAUAGCAUACAAUUUUUCAAUCUAAUCUUUUUGUUUUGUUUUUAUGUCUACAGGGAAUUGAUUAUCAGGCUUUUAAGUACUUAUUUAUUCGCAAUUUACUUUUGUUCACAAUCAAAAACAAUAACAAAUUAUUUAUGGCAUAUUAAAGCUUGUGAGGGGUGAGCUCAUUUAUAAAUCAAAAAAACAAAGAGAACACAUAAGCUGCCGUGUAUCCCAAAAAUGGAUAUAAAAAAUAUGCACAAAAAUAAUAAUAAUAAAA